CAACACCAUCCACUGCUCUGCCUUAGCAACAGAACCAGUGCUGAGAGGGUCUCUCUGUUUGCACAGAAAGCAGAGGUGGUUAUUUAUCACUUCAGUCGUGCCCAAGCUGCCCAGGUGCUUGGGAUUUUGAUCUUCAGCUGGAACAGGAGAGGAAAAAAGAAAUCCCCCGGAGCUUUGUGAAGUAAACCCCUUUCCUAGCACUAGGAUAUGGAAGAAAGCCUCGUGUCUUUGCAUCUUUGCCUGUUGCUGGGCUCAGUAAAGCUCUUCUCUUCCAGCUAACUUCUCUGCUGGCAGGUGACAUCUCCCAGAGUAGCAGGCAGGAGACACUAAUUUCCUUCAGCCCGGCUUCCCUGGCUUCAGUGACCAAAUAAUCACCUGUCAAGUGGCUUACACGGUGACAGACUGGAGGAGGGAGCACAGAGCAACGAGGAAUCAUCGCUCCAGGUGAUUUUUAAUAUCCAAGAGGCAGUGGCAGACAGGAAGGUGAUGGAAAAGUGUGGACAGUGGCAACACAUCUGUCAGGAGCUGCCUGUCCUGCAGGCAGACAGAUGGGCUUUUCAGCAUGUUUUACCAGAGAGUAACCUGCAAUAUGGCAUGAAAGGGGAGAGAAGAACCAAAGGGUGAAGACCUGUCCAAGGGGGACAGGGCGCCACAGUGCCCCUACAGUCAAUGGGGGCUCAAAGAGGCUGUUUGAUUUCUUAUGAAAAGAGUGGCAGGAACUGGGCUGGAUGGAGCCCAAAUAAUGAUAAAUUUUAGCUAGGUUUGUGUAAGGAGGGUGAGGAUGUUUGGGCAGUGCUUCUGGGCUGGGGUACAGAGCCUCCCUGCCCUCUUUGGUGACAGGGGUAGCAGGAGGGGAUUUUCAUAGUGUGAAGGUCUGCUCAUUAAUAUCUCGUUUUCUUGCUAUUGGGACCUUUUUUACAUAGCCAGCAAGAGGACUGGGAUUAACUCACUCCCACACAGGCUCAGUAAUACCUUCCUUACCUUCAGGUGCUGCUUUGGCAGCUUUGCUCCAGUCUGCAGGUCUGGGUGGCUUUGAGGAUCUUGCACGCCAAGCUCUAGCUCUGAACUGUCCUUGCAGUGCAAUGUAAGGUGCUGUUCCCAGGGUCUGCCCCUCCUUCCCUAAUCCACAGUCUCAGCUGUGAGGUGUAAGGCAAGAGGGCUGUGAAGGCAAAGUUCCCUGGACAGCCCCAGUCAGAUGCUGUGUUUGCUGCUUGUACCAUGCUCAGCAGACAAGCAGUGUGUUUUGUCUCUACAGGCUGUCCAAGACAGGGCCCACUAGGAGUAUCUGAACUGUGGCUUUUAAUGCAGCUGGGAGAAAGUGUUGUCCUGAAUCCCCAAAUCCAGUGUUUUGUUUCAAACAGGGGCAAAGCCACAGUGGAAGUCUAGUUACUCAUUGCCAUGGUAUCCCCCAGGCUGAAUUUGCCUGGCAAAUAUCAGAAUGACCAGUUCUAUGGACAUAUUCUUCCAGAA